AGGAGGGGGAGGGAUUC
rnacentral:tRNA from 2 species